rnacentral:rRNA from 1 species
GACAGAGGGUGCAAACGUUGUUCGGAAUUACUGGGCGUAAAGCGCGUGUAGGCUGCUUGGAAAGUCGGAUGUGAAAGCCCUGGGCUCAACCUAGGAAGUGCAUUCGAAACUUCCAAGCUGGAGUGCUGGAGAGGAAGGCGGAAUUCUCGGUGUAGAGGUGAAAUUCGUAGAUAUCGAGAGGAACACCGGUGGCGAAGGCGGCCUUCUGGACAGUUACUGACGCUGAGACGCGAAAGCGUGGGGGGCAAACAGG